UACGAAGGGUGCAAACGUUGCUCGGAAUCAUUGGGCGUAAAGCGCACGUAGGCGGCUUCGCAAGUCGGAUGUGAAAUCCCUCGGCUCAACCGAGGACGUGCAUCCGAAACUGCGGAGCUUGAGUACUGAAGAGGAUCGCGGAAUUCCCGGUGUAGAGGUGAAAUUCGUAGAUAUCGGGAGGAACACCAGUGGCGAAGGCGGUUGCCUGGGGCUUUGCUGACGCUGAUGCGCGAAAGCGUGGGGAGCGAUCCGG
rnacentral:rRNA from 1 species